AAACAACUCUCGGCAACGGAUAUCUUGGCUCUUGCAACGAUGAAGAACGCAGCGAAAUGCGAUACGUAGUGUGAAUUGCAGAAUUCCGCGAAUCAUCGAGUCUUUGAACGCAAGUUGCGCCCGAGGCUUGUCCGAGGGCAUUUCCGCUAGAGCGUCACC
rnacentral:rRNA from 1 species